rnacentral:rRNA from 1 species
GGCCAGACUCCUACGGGAGGCAGCAGUGGGGAAUAUUGCACAAUGGGGGAAACCCUGAUGCAGCGACGCCGCGUGAGUGAAGAAGUAUUUCGGUAUGUAAAGCUCUAUCAGCAGGGACGAAAAUGACGGUACCUGAGUAAGAAGCCCCGGCUAACUACGUGCCAGCAGCCGCGGUAAUACGUAGGGGGCAAGCGUUAUCCGGAAUUACUGGGUGUAAAGGGAGCGUAGACGGCUGUGCAAGUCUGGAGUGAAAGGCGGGGGCCCAACCCCCGGACUGCUCUGGAAACUGUAUGGCUGGAGUGCAGGAGAGGUAAGCGGAAUUCCUAGUGUAGCGGUGAAAUGCGUAGAUAUUAGGAGGAACACCAGUGGCGAAGGCGGCUUACUGGACUGUAACUGACGUUGAGGCUCGAAGGCGUGGGGAGCAAACAGGAUUAGAUACCCCCGUAA